rnacentral:lncRNA from 1 species
AGAUGCUCUGUUCCUGAAGCCAUUUCCCUAGCUGGAGGUGCCACCAUGAGGGGAGCCGGGUAGGAAAGAAUUGACUAAGGUUCUGGCCAGCUGCUUCAUGGGGGUUGCCUCUUCAGUCUGAGUCUUUGACAACAGUCAGGCAAGUCACCUUUGUGCCAAUUAUUUCUGCCCCACUCACUCCCCCUGUCCCUAGAGGUGACUCUUGAGAGAGUCUUAGUAACCUAGAGAUGUCCCUCGAGGCUUUGAGGACCAGCCUGGGUGGAAACCUGCUACUGCUGCUGCUGCUUCUGCCGCCCCUGCCUGGGUUGUGGAGAAACAAAUAAGGCAGAUAAACAGGCAAACAUCCAAGAAGAGGGACUGUGGGGUGAGGCGGAAAAGAGAGUUGUCAGACGAGGUUGUUCAUAACCGGAGCCCAGCCUCUCUGGAGCACAGGCUAAGAUGGUGAAGUUCUGUGGCUCCAAGACCCAUGAGAUUUGGAAAGAAGACCCAUAUGGAUUUGGAAAGAAGACCCACGCUCCCACAAAGUGAAAUUGCCCCUCUCAGAGGAAACAGAAAGAUGGCCACCUGCUUCCCAAGGAAACAGACACAACCCCCCCAACCCCCCAGAGGCUGAUGGGAGGUGAAUGAGCCAGGUACCCUAACAGA